rnacentral:rRNA from 1 species
GAUGAACGCUGGCGGCGUGCCUAAUACAUGCAAGUCGAGCGAACGGACGAGAAUCUUGCUUCUCUGAUGUUAGCGGCGGACGGGUGAGUAACACGUGGAUAACCUACCUAUAAGACUGGGGUAACUUCGGGAAACCGUAGCUAAUACCGGAUAAUAUUUUGAACCGCAUGGUUCAAAAGUGAAAGACGGUCUUGCUGUCACUUAUAGAUGGAUCCGCGCUGCAUUAGCUAGUUGGUAAGGUAACGGCUUACCAAGGCAACGAUGCAUAGCCGACCUGAGAGGGUGAUCGGCCACACUGGAACUGAGACACGGUCCAGACUCCUACGGGAGGCAGCAGUAGGGAAUCUUCCGCAAUGGGCGAAAGCCUGACGGAGCAACGCCGCGUGAGUGAUGAAGGUCUUCGGAUCGUAAAACUCUGUUAUUAGGGAAGAACAUAUGUGUAAGUAACUGUGCACAUCUUGACGGUACCUAAUCAGAAAGCCACGGCUAACUACGUG